rnacentral:rRNA from 1 species
UACGUAGGUGGCAAGCGUUAUCCGGAUUUAUUGGGUGUAAAGGGCGUGUAGGCGGGAAUGCAAGUCAGAUGUGAAAACUCAGGGCUCAACCCUGAGCCUGCAUUUGAAACUGUGUUUCUUGAGUGCUGGAGAGGCAAUCGGAAUUCCGUGUGUAGCGGUGACAUGCGUAGAUAUACGGAGGAACACCAGUGGCGAAGGCGGAUUGCUGGACAGUAACUGACGCUGAGGCGCGAAAGCGUGGGGAGCAAACAGG